rnacentral:rRNA from 1 species
AACGUAGGGUGCAAGCGUUGUCCGGAUUUAUUGGGUUUAAAGGGUGCGUAGGUGGCUGAUUAAGUCAUGGGUGAAAGCCCGCAGCUCAACUGUGGAAUUGCCUGCGAUACUGAUUAGCUUGAGUGCGGUUGAGGCAGCUGGAAUUGGUGGUGUAGCGGUGAAAUGCAUAGAUACCACCAGGAACACCGAUUGCGAAGGCAGGUUGCUAAGCAGUAACUGACGCUGAUGCACGAAAGCGUGGGGAGCAAACAGG